UACGUAGGGGGCAAGCGUUGUCCGGAAUCAUUGGGCGUAAAGAGCGUGUAGGCGGUUCGGUAAGUCCGCUGUAAAAGUCCAGGGCUCAACCCUGGAAAGCCGGUGGAAACUGUCGAACUAGAGUCCGGAAGAGGCGAGUGGAAUUCCUGGUGUAGCGGUGAAAUGCGCAGAUAUCAGGAGGAACACCAAUGGCGAAGGCAGCUCGCUGGGACGGUACUGACGCUGAGACGCGAAAGCGUGGGGAGCAAACAGGAUUGAGAA
rnacentral:rRNA from 1 species